AGUGAAAUUCCGUUCGAUCUUCCAAAAAAAUUGAAUGUGCUUUAUGCCAAUGGUCACUGCAUUGUGUGGCAGUUCCCUGGAACAGCAAACGGCAACGACGUUUGCUCACUCUGGGGUCCCGAGAACGCAAGCGGAAUAGAUGAGCAAGUCUGCUUUGAUACUUUCAACAGAGAUUGCAACGGCGAAAAAACUAUAUCAUAUCCAAUUCAUCGUGAACGCUGCGAACUACAUGACAAGUUGGCUCAAGAGCAUGACAAGAAACCUGGGAGUAAAUAAACAAGGCACCCUAAAUAUA
rnacentral:lncRNA from 1 species